GGGGUCAUUUGUUUUGGUACAGAGUAUAAGUUUAGUUUUACCUUUGUCCUUUGUGGACGGUGGUUUUUUGUAUUUGAAUUGUUUUCUUGCUUUAAGCUACUUUCGUAUUUUUGACGGAGUCAUGUUGUGGUGGCCUUGUCUGAUUCACCGGAUACCUUCGGCCUUAUUUUGCUAGAGGUUAUGUGAGUGAUGGUGAAAUGGUUUUGUUUUUGUGUGUGAU
rnacentral:lncRNA from 1 species